AUAGGUAUUGAGUCGAGAGAAUAUGUGGCUAGAGAAUGAGAGAAGAAGAAGAUCCAUUACUAUGAGGCUAGGAGAGGUAUCUAAGGUUGACUUUCUCAUACAUGUGCCUUUAUUUAAUUGGUAGGCCUUUCAUUUAGUGGUUCCCCUGCUAGGUUGACAAUGUGAUAAGAUGUGAGUGGGUUGUAGAGUCUGUUGAUAAUUAGUGACAACCAUCUUGUUACCAUGGUUGAGUUGUUGGAGUGGUUGAGUGACGUAUUUGUG
rnacentral:lncRNA from 1 species